GGGCACGACACCGGAGAGGGAGCCUGAGAAACGGCUACCANANCCAAGGAUGGCAGCAGGCGCGCAAAUUACCCAAUCCCGACACGGGGAGGUAGUGACAAUAAAUAACAAUACGGGGUUCUUUCGGAUCUCGUAAUUGGAAUGAGUACAAUUUAAAUCUCUUAACGAGGAACAAUUGGAGGGCAAGUCUGGUGCCAGCAGCCGCGGUAAUUCCAGCUCCAAUAGCGUAUAUUAAAGUUGUUGCAGUUAAAAAGCUCGUAGUUGAAUUUCGGGGUUAGUAGGUUGGUCAUGCCUCUGGUAUGUACUGGUCUCACUGAUUCCUCCUUCCUGAUGAACCGUAAUGCCAUUAAUUUGGUGUUGCGGGGAAUUUGGACUGUUACUUUGAAAAAAUUAGAGUGUUUAAAGCAAGCUAACGCUUGAAUACAUUAGCAUGGAAUAAUGAAAUAGGACGUUCGAUCUUAUUUUGUUGGUUUCUAGGAUUGACGUAAUGAUUAAUAGGGAUAGUUGGGGGCAUUAGUAUUCAAUUGUCAGAGGUGAAAUUCUUGGAUUUAUUGAAGACUAACUACUGNNAAAGCAUUUGCCAAGGAUGUUUUCAUUAAUCAAGAACGAAAGUUAGGG
rnacentral:rRNA from 1 species